CAUAAAUAACCCACGACACGUGCAGUCCUGGCUUGUACGACACCGUUUUGUGAUGGAAUUUAAACAAAAAAUAAUUUCUGAAAAAAACACUAGCAGCCUAUAUUUUAAAACAUUUGUUCCCUUUCCUCUGCUAGGUUUUCUUUAAAAAUAAACCCUAGGCCGCCGCUCUCCAACAGGGUCACCCUUCAGCUUCCGUCGUCGCCUCAGUCUCCGAUUGCGAUGGAGAGGACAACACCAGUUUUUUCAUGGCAAGUGCACUGGAGAGAAGACAUGCGCGGCGUGCGGAGUGCAUGCGAGGCUACUGUGCGUGGGAGCAGCAACGUGGGGGUGAUGGGGCAGUUGCUACAGCACCGAGGAAGGGAAGCUAGGGUUUUUGUGUUUUAGGGCCAGUUCUUCAUUUCUUAAAAAAAACACUUUUGACUCCAAAAGUAUUUUUGAAAGAAAAGCUGUAAAGAACAAGCUGCUUUUGGCUGAAAAGGAGAAGUUAAAAAUUUUAGCUUUUCCUCUCCCAAAAGCACUUUUGGUGCUUAAUUACUUUUUCACCCCUCCAAUAACAUAGUAUUUUUCUUUUU